GUAGGUGGCAAGCGUUGUCCGGGAAUUAUUGGGGCGUAAAGCGCGCGCAGGCGGUUCUCUAAGUCUGAUGUGAAAGCCCACGGGCUCAACCGUGGAGGGUCAUUGGAAACUGGAGAACUUGAGUACAGAAGAGGAAAGCGGAAUUCCACGUGUAGCGGUGAAAUGCGUAGAGAUGUGGAGGAACACCAGUGGCGAAGGCGGCUUUCAGGUCUGUAACUGACGCUGAGGCGCGAAAGCGUGGGGAGCAAACAGGAUUAGAUACCCUGGUAGUCCACGCCGUAAACGAUGAGUGCUAAGUGUUAGGGGGUUUCCGCCCCUUAGUGCUGCAGCUAACGCAUUAAGCACUCCGCCUGGGGAGUACGGCCGCAAAGGCUGA
rnacentral:rRNA from 1 species